rnacentral:rRNA from 1 species
CUGUCCUACGGGGGGCAGCAGUGGGGAAUAUUGGACAAUGGGGGGAACCCUGAUCCAGCGACGCCGCGUGAGUGAAGAAGUAUUUCGGUAUGUAAAGCUCUAUCAGCAGGGAAGAAAAUGACGGUACCUGACUAAGAAGCCCCGGCUAACUACGUGCCAGCAGCCGCGGUAAUACGUAGGGGGCAAGCGUUAUCCGGAUUUACUGGGUGUAAAGGGAGCGCAGACGGCAGUGCAAGUCUGGAGUGAAAGCCCGGGGCCCAACCCCGGAACUGCUCUGGAAACUGUGCGGCUAGAGUACUGGAGGG